rnacentral:rRNA from 1 species
CGGCGGACGGGUGAGUAACGCGUGGGUAACCUGCCUCAUACAGGGGGAUAACAGUUAGAAAUGACUGCUAAUACCGCAUAAGACCACGGUACCGCAUGGUACAGUGGUAAAAACUCCGGUGGUAUGAGAUGGACCCGCGUCUGAUUAGGUAGUUGGUGGGGUAACGGCCUACCAAGCCGACGACCAGUAGCCGACCUGAGAGGGUGACCGGCCACAUUGGGACUGAGACACGGCCCAG